CCUACGGGGGGCAGCAGUUAGGAAUAUUCGUCAAUGGGGGAAACCCUGAACGAGCAAUGCCGCGUGAAGGAUGACGGUCCUAUGGAUUGUAAACUUCUGUUGUUAGGGAAGAACGACCUAAGUAGGAAAUGACUUAGGAGUGACGGUACCUUUCAAGAAAGCUCCGGCUAACUACGUGCCAGCAGCCGCGGUAAUACGUAGGUGGCGAGCGUUGUCCGGAAUUACUGGGUGUAAAGGGAGUGUAGGCGGGAAAGCAAGUCAGAAGUGAAAACUAUGGGCUUAACCCAUAGCCUGCUUUUGAAACU
rnacentral:rRNA from 1 species